CCGAGUGGCGGACGGGUGAGUAACGCGUGGGUAACCUGCCUCAUACAGGGGGAUAACGGUUAGAAAUGACUGCUAAUACCGCAUAAGCGCACAGUACCGCAUGGUACGGUGUGAAAAACUCCGGUGGUAUGAGAUGGACCCGCGUCUGAUUAGCUAGUUGGUGGGGUAACGGCCUACCAAGGCGACGAUCAGUAGCCGACCUGAGAGGGUGACCGGCCACAUUGGGACUGAGACACGGCCCAA
rnacentral:rRNA from 1 species